AAAGACAGCUAUGUAGCUAGCUAACACUGAACUAAUCAAGUCGUACAGUUGAGUGAAUAGCACUACAGUGAUGCUAAUCUGUGUGCGUUAGCUAGCGUUGCUAGCUCCUGGGCGAAUAGCAGUGAAGGCUACGUUAGGGCGACGAAAUACGAAAUACGAUAAUUAAUGCAAUUAUCUCUGAUACAGGACGGCUAUGUAGCUAGCUAAGAAGAAUGGCUAAGAUUAUGUAGCUAGCUAACAGUAAACUAAUCAAGUCGUACAGUUGAGUGAAUAGCACUACAGUGAUGCUAAUCUGUGUGCGUUAGCUAGCGUUUGCUAGCUCCUGGGCGAAUAGCAGUGAAGGCUACGUUAGGGCGACGAAAUACGAUAAUUAUGCAAUUAUCUCUGAUACAAGGACGGCUAUGUAGCUAGCUAAGAAGAAUUGCUAAGAUUAGACAAAUCAACCGUUGUACUGUAAUGAAAUGUAAUGAAAAAGUUAUACAACCUGCAGAGCGAGGUUAUCUGUAAGGUCUGUAAGGUCCCUCAUCUCUGUACCCCCACACAUACAAUUAUCUGUAAGGUCCCUCAUCUCUGUACCCACACACAUACAAUUAUCUGUAAGGUCCCUCAUCUCUGUACCCCACACAUACAAUUAUCUGUAAGGUCCCUCAUCUCUGUACCCACACACAUACAAUUAUCUGUAAGGUCCCUCAUCUCUGUACCCCACACAUACAAUUAUCUGUAAGGCCCCUCAUCUCUGUACCCCACACAUACAAUUAUCUGUAAGGUCCCUCAUCUCUGUACCCCACACAUACAAUUAUCUGUAAGGUCCCUCAUCUCUGUACCCCACACGUACAAUUAUCUGUAAGGUCCCUCAUCUCUGUACCCCACACAUACAAUUAUCUGUAAGGUCCCUCAUCUCUGUACCCCACACAUACAAUUAUAUGUAAGGCCCCUCAUCUCUGUACCCCACACGUACAAGUAUCUGUAAGGCCCCUCAGUCGGGCAAUGAAUUUCAAACACAGAUUCAACCACAAAGACCAGGGAGGUUUUCCAAUGCCUCACAGAGAAGGGCUCCUAUUGGUAGAUGGGUAAAAAAACAGACAUUGAAUAUCGCUUUGAGCAUGGUAACGUUAUUAAUUACACUUUGGAUGGUGUAUCAGUACACCCAGUCACUACAAAGAUACAGGCGUCCUUCCUAACUCAGUUGCUGGAGAGGAAGGAAACUGCUCAGGGAUUUCACCAUGAGGCCAAUGGUGACUUUAAAACAGUUACAGAGUUUAAUGGCUGUGACAGGAGAAAACUGAGGAUGGAUCAACAACAUUGUAGUUAUUCCACAAUACUAACCUAAAUGACAGGUUAGUGUUGAAAAUAAUAAAACUUAUUUCAAAAUAUCCAUCUUGUUUGCAACAAGGCAAAAAAAACACAAAAAAAACAGGCAAAACAAUUAACUGUUUGUCCUGAAUACAAAGUGUUAUGUUUGGGGCAAAUAUAAUACAACACAUUACUGAGUACCACUCUACAUAUUUUCAAGCAUAGUUUUGGCUGCAUCAUGUUAUGGGUAUGCGUGUAAUCUUUAAGGACGGGGGAGUUUUUUUUAGGACAAAAAUAAAUGGAAUGGAGCUAAGCACAGGCAGAAUCCUAGAAGAAAACCUGUUUCAGUCUGCUUUCCACCAGAUACUGGGACACAUAUUCACCUUUCAGCAGGACAGUAACCUAAAACAUAAGGCAUACACUGGAGUAGCUUACCAAGAUGACAGUGAAUAUUCCUGAGUGGCAUAGUAACAGUUUUGAUUUAAAUCUACUUGAAAAUCAACGGCAAGACGUGGAAAUGGUUAUCUGCCAAUUGGACAGAGCUUGAAGAUUGUUGAAAAGAAUAAUGGGUGUGGAAAGCUCUUAAAGACUUCUCCAGC